UUGUUUCCAUUGAUAUUGCAUAAAUCACAGCUAAUCUCUACACAUAUCAAGAAAUCUAAUGAUGUUGGAUGGGGUGGCCUUGAGAGCCACGGGGCUGGACCACUUGUCAAUUCAAUGUUGUCAGAAACGACGGUUCAAACACUGUUCAUGGACUUCAACAGAAAAAUUUGAAAGUCCAUAUGGGGGCCCCAUUUGCUGCCGAAAAUUCAAUGGGUAAUUUUUACGCAGUCCUAGCAGGACGUCUUGCAUAAAGCAAUUGACCGUAGAUAAGUUCUGUUAUAAGAUUAGCGACAAUAGCAGCACGUAAUGGACUUGGAUUUUCUUCGACCCAUACCUGGCUAUUGCUACUGUUUAAUAUCCCAUGUGGUGUAAAAGUGUCAUCAUUUGUCUCAAAGUCAAAAGUGAAAAAUGGACUUGGUCGACAAAUUCCACAAUCUUAUGAAGCAGCCACGGACAAAACUUAAUUCUUGCAUGAGAAUUUGCUGGAGUCAAACUUUAACUGCUUGUAAUUUUUUUUUGACGAGGGCUUUAAUUUUAUUUGCAACUCAGUUAAAAACUGCUUCGUUUUUUAGUAAAACCGUGCAGCAA